GCCAAUGUAGCUCAGUGGUAGAGCACACGCUUCGUAAGCGUGCGGUCGAGGGUCCGACUCCCUCCAUUGGCU
rnacentral:tRNA from 1 species